rnacentral:rRNA from 1 species
UACGUAGGGUGCAAGCGUUAAUCGGAAUUACUGGGCGUAAAGCGUGCGCAGGCGGUUAUAUAAGACAGUUGUGAAAUCCCCGGGCUCAACCUGGGAACUGCAUCUGUGACUGUAUAGCUAGAGUACGGUAGAGGGGGAUGGAAUUCCGCGUGUAGCAGUGAAAUGCGUAGAUAUGACAUAGAACACCCAUUGCGAAGGCAGCUAACUACGCGAUAAUUGACGCUGAUGCACGAAAGCGUGGGGAUCAAACAGG